rnacentral:sRNA from 1 species
UGGCCCAGCUUUUUCCCUCCUGGGCUCGCGCUUCUUACACCUUCUUUACGGUUGUUUCGGCCAUUCAGGUCUCUCCCACACACCCUAUUUCCUAGUUUUGUGAUCUCCGGGAGCAAAGUUUUAAUACACAACUACUAGUCCUCUUAGAAGGAGAAAGAAAAAAAGAAGAAAGACUUUUCUGCUUGGUUUAUUUAUCUUCUCUCAGGAGUUGAACUCUGGAAAUUGAAACUCACACCCCCUCUUCUAAAUUAUAAUCAUAGUUUUGUAAAAAAGGGCUUACCUUAACUUUGUAGCAAAUCUGUACUUUAUGGAUUGGCAAAAAUGAGCCCAAAUAAAUAACUCAAUAGCAACGUCCUGGUUUAUGCUGGUCGGUGGAAGAUUCCAAAUUUGUUAGGAUUCUGGAAGCAGAAAACAGAAUCAAGCAAAUCAAGCGGCAUCCAGAGGCUUUGCUGUUAAAAAAAAAAAAUUAAGUGCUCUGGGUAGAAAAAAAUAAAGCCCCCGGUUAGAGCAGAGCAAACAAAAAGAAGAAAACAACGAUAAAAAGAAUAAAGACCAAAAUGCUCUCCCAAAUCAGAGGGAAUGAAGACACUCUCUGGGUGGCAUUUGUGCAAGGCAUGAGGCUAUGCUGGUGGAUAAAAGGCCGGGAAGAAGUUGAAAAUGGUUUUAGUUUAACUGUCCAGAGCCAGAGCUGGGUCCUGGGCGGCGUGGUUUUGAGCAAGGUUUGGUUCAAGAAUCGUCGGGCCAAAUGGAGAAAGAGGGAGCGCAACCAGCAGGCCGAGCUAUGCAAGAAUGGCUUCGGGCCGCAGUUCAAUGGGCUCAUGCAGCCCUACGACGACAUGUACCCAGGCUAUUCCUACAACAACUGGGCCGCCAAGGGCCUUACAUCCGCCUCCCUAUCCACCAAGAGCUUCCCCUUCUUCAACUCUAUGAACGUCAACCCCCU